ACCAACUCCACCCUGCCUGAGCUGCUGGACUCAGUGUCCCAUUCGCCUCUUCUGAAGAGUCACUUGCUUUCACCUUACUCAGAUGAAGGGGCAAAGGAAUAUCCAAGUCCAAUUAUUUUUCUUCCCUGCUUUCAAAUACCCAAUCCUCCUGACUGAUCAAGAUACCAUUAGCUUCAUUUCUCCCCCCAAGUGUUUUCAGCAGUUUACUUUUCCCUAGCCAGACAAAAUUGGCACCUGUGUGUGUUUUCUAGAAUUUUAAAGGAAUUCCCCUUAACUCCCCUCACAGGCAUAUUCUAAUUUAAUGACUAUAUCUCCCCUUCUUUUCCACACCCACACCCUGGUACAAACUGUCCCUGACCUUCACAAGAGCAACUAAAACUUGAGACCAAUUUCUGUUUCAUUUCUCUUGCAGAAGUCAAGAGACUAUCGCCAAUUAUUAUUCAAAACAUCAACAAAGCUUAGGCAAGUCAGAGUUAUCUUUCACACACUAGCUAACAGGAGCAUCC
rnacentral:lncRNA from 1 species